AUAACUGAAUUAGACACAGAAAAUCUGGGGCGGGGCACCUGGGUGGCUCAGUGGUUGAGCAUCUGCCUUUGGCACAAGGUGUGAUCCCGGGGUCCCAGGAUCGAGUCCCACACCAGGCUCCCCGCAGGGAACCUACUUCUCCCUUUGCCUAUGUCUCUGUCUUUCUCUGUGUGUCUCUCAUGAAUAAAUAAAAUCUUUUUUAAAAAAGUAAGAAAAUCUGGGGCCGGGAUGCUUUCAGUCCAUCAAUAACUGGGUGACUAGGACUAGUUCACAUGUUUUCUUUGAGGUUCAGUCUCCUUCCUUGUGAAAUGAAGCAGUGAGAUAAACUCAGAAGAGAAAGUUCUAUAGCACUCGGGCACCAACUUCCCAGUGCUGUGCCCAUGGCAGCCAUUACUAGUUGAUUACCGAGCUCUUGAUGCCCAGUUGAAGCCCCAGAAUGCUGCCCCUGGCAACCACCAGCAAUUGGCUGGGGUGAACAUGUUGGAUGAAACCAAGCAGCACACCGGAGUAGAUGUUUCUACAACCGACUCCAGACCUUCUGACUCCAUAAGUCUAUUCCUCACUGCUACUCGCAGCACCCUGGCCAGGCUGACAAAGCAGGGACAUCCAAUGGUCUCGCAUCAUCUUUCACUACAAAGGACGCCCAUCCCAUCACUCAUGACAAGGACCCGAGGAGUCGAUAACCUGAGCUCCAUUCUGGUUUCACACCCAAGGCAGCCCAGGGACAUCUCCUCUGAACAAAUAUCAACCUGGAGUCACACCACUCUGCAAAACAGGGAGCAGGCUUUGUAGAGAGGAGAGGAGCCCCAGCCCCUGUGAGUGGCCACUGUUCACGGCACUUCAGUGACAUGAGAAGAGCAGACUCCCUACAAUGAACAAUUCUGGCCAACCAAGUGUUCUCUGGCCCCCAUCUGCAUAGCUGUGCAGAUGGUAUUGUUAGCAGGUGGACUGGAGAAGAGUCAAGCUUUGGAGGAUCAGUUCUUGCAAGUUGUUUGUCCUGUCUAGCCUGCUCUCAGCAAGCCAUGCAGAUCGUGUGGGCUCCAGAAAGAGGCAGCCCUGGACUGGAAUCCCAUCACGACCCUUUGUAGCUGUGUGACCUUGGGUAAAUGACCUAACCUCUCUGAGCAUCCUAUCUGUAAAGUGGGAAUACCAAUAUUCCAUGAAGAAUCUUGUGAGGAUAAAAGGAGUAUGUAUAUAAAGUAGCUCAUGUAAUACCAAAGUCAUGCUGAAAAUAAACAUACCUGCAUCAUCAUAAAAGCCAGUAAUAAUAAAAAUGGAAUGUAAACUCACUUAAAAAGAUCCAAGAAUCAGAAGCUAAAGCAGGAAGGGAACUAAAUUGUGUUGCUCAUUAACAUAUACUCAAUAUGAGAAAGAAUUUACACACAUUUCCCCGUUUUAUCUUUUCAUCAAUGAAUGAUACUGUGCCCAUUUUACAGAUGAAGAAACCAAGGGUCAUAGAAGCUCAGGAUGUUCCCCUACAGAAAUGGCACUUUCUCAACUCCUCCCUCUUUUCUUAAAUCAGUUCAAAGCUCCAGGCUUCACUUGCUAAUUUCGUCCAGAGUUGAUUUCCGGUUCUAUUUUAUCCCUAGUUCCUGCAAUCUGGAAAUGUGCUCUGCCCUGAUAAUUUCAUCUAUUCUGGUGCAUCAGCCAUUUCCAUGUGGGUCUCCAUAAGGGCCCCUGCCCCCACCCAGGCUUCAACUGAGCCCUGAAGUGGGUCCUGUUCCCCAAGUUUCAAAGGCCUGUCUUGGUGCCCCAACACCUCAGAUGCUACAUGGCCAAUUCACCCCAUCCUCAAAUCUCCUCCUUCUGAUUCCCUAUUUUGCUGACCAGCAUCACCCUCUGAUCACUCAGCAGUGAUGUCUCUUGGGCAUUUCUCACUCUUUUCUCUCCCUGGAAAUUCAUAUGCAAGUAACUCCCUCUUCACCGCCCCCCGGUGGAUCCCCCCACAAGGCUCUGAUGAGGAUACUUAGACAUGGCUUUGCCAUGGCCCAAGUGUCGCCAGUGCCCCCGCCGUCACCUUACAGAGUUCCAACUCUGCAGCCUGCCACCUGGAGCUUAUCAAAUCUGACCUAAAUCUAUUUAUUUCUCCCCGUGGUGUGUGUCACAGCAAAGUGGGUGACUUACUGCUCCCACAAUAUAGCUCAUGCUUAAUUAGCAGUGGUAAUAAACACAUCAGUGUCAUAAGCACUUUACAUACAAUGUCCUACUAACUCUGCACCGUGACCUUUUUUUUUUUUUUUUUGUCAACACCAUAUCAGAUUUAUUAUUCCAGUGACACUGGGAUACAGCUGGGGGUGCUCACGGUGACCCUGCACAAAGUUUCCUGCCUUCUGGCUUCUGCCCAAAGAGAAAGUCUACCACCGGGUCCUUCCUCCUUUCUGGGAGGAAAUCCACUAUGGGGCCAUUUACCCAAAUAAGCCUCCUUAAUGGAUUAAUUUUUUUUUUUUUUGACAUUUGAGUUUCCAAAAUGGAAAAACAAAGUGUUGAGUGUCCAUUCUACCUCCCCCACCCUCACUGGCCAAAUAAGUCCCUGCUCCCGGGGCACUUCUGUUGCCUCUGAAAUCUUGAAAUAAACACCAAAAGAAACGGCAUCAAGGGUUCACAUUGAGUGACGGCCCCCAGUGGGCCCCAGAACCUGUCAGGUGGACCGUCACUUUGUCUGGACAGUCUUGAGGCAUCACGGAGCCUGCAGGGCCUGUUGCUACGGUCAAGUGGCAGCCCGGUGCAGGGGCUGUGGCCACCACUUUUUACAGUAAACGGUGUCCAGCGGGGUGGUCACACAGGGCCCCGAGUUCAGAAGGGCCACACGCCUGGGUUAAUGCUCUGCUGUCACUGUGCUAAAAUUCUUCAUUUUCGGAGGGCCUCACAUUUCCAUUUUGCCUUGGGCUCCAAACACUAUGCAGCUAGUCCUAGAAGUAGGUGCUGUUAGGAUACCCAUUUUCCAGACAUGAAAAGCAAGGCCACACAGCUAUUAAGCCCAGGAAGUCUUGACAAGUAGCCACUCUACUGAGGCCCUGAUGUGUGGCUGGUCCCCUACCACGUGGAUGGCUUAUUCUGUGCCAUCCAUUCAAGUCCCCCCUCCCUUCGGCUUCACACCCACCCUGCACAAGUGGCUGGCCCCUCCUGUCAUUUCAUUUCCUGAAAGUCACAUGACCUUUCCACAAUCCCAAAGCUCGUCAGGGGCAGAGCCAGAAUCCGGUUCCAGGUCUGCCUGCCCUCAAGCCCGAUGCCACUCCUGCCAUGCCGUUCAGUACAAACAGUGACCCCACCAUUCCGGAGCCAGCACGAACAUCUGGUGAGCAUUGCACGGGGGUGAGGGGGAGGGGAGGUGUGGGCAGAGACCCCGUAGAGACCUCUGAAAAUAAAGCCCGAGCACCCUGUGUACUGAGACCCGAAGAAGCCUCCUUCUUCCUCUAAAAAGCUGUUCCCGUCUCCAAAGCAGCCUCUCACCACAGACCGUGGCUGCUGCUUUCAUGCACUGCAAAGGGAGAAACAGAACAGAUUGUCAGAGCAAUUAAACCAUCACAUGGAAAGCCCAGAGAGACUGGGGAGGGGCAGGACAUGCUGUUUCUUAAUGGUCUGCCUCUAUAUUUAGCCUGAAAUCCCUCCAUCUCGAACCCUUCCAGGGUGCAGGUAGAGGUGAGAGCAGAGUUGGGGGCUCUGGCGCCAUUGGGCUCAUGUCCCAGGAAGCACCCGCCUGCCCGCGUGUGGCCCCAUUAGCACUACACCUUACAAGGGCUCACCAUAUGGCAGGACAGGAAACCCCAACCGUAAAACAAGCAGUGGAAACCACAGGACAGCCUGUCUAGGUGAAACCUGGCAAGAUGAUUCUGUAAAGAUGUUAAAUCAACAAGGGGGAGCUGGCCCUGUCCCACGGGGUGCCAACUUCCCUCGGGGGUUAGGGGCGCAGGUGGGUGACAACAUCUGGGCAGCCUUGAGCUUCAGUCUUCGUUAGAGAGGGGCUUCUUCCUCUCCCUGUCUUCAUCCUGAAGCCAGUGCUCAUAAAUCAGGCACUCCUUGUGUGUGUGUGUGUGUGUGUGUGUGUGUGUGCUGGGGGGCCGGGGAAAGGGUGCACAGAUUCCCCCAUCUGUGUGCACAUGUGCUUUAUAGGGCCUUUUAAAAAUACAAAUGCCAGGGCCCCACUCCCAGAGCUGAUGACUCAUUCUGGAAUGGGGCUCAGACAUCUGUGUUUAUACAAAGCCCUCCAGGUAAUUCUGAGCACGGCCAGUUGAGGAAUAACUGGUAGGUAUAAUGGUCAUAAAAUAUAUUUAAGAGCUUGGGCUUUAUGUUCUAGUUUUGGUCGCUUACUGUUUGAGGGGCUCUGAACAAAUAUAUGUGCAUCUUGGCACCUCGGUCUCCCCAUUUAUAAGUGGGUACGGAUCCUCAGUUCCUGGUACAUAGUCAGUGCUCAGCAAGUGCUGCGGGCUGACCAAAUGGCUGGCUGGCUGAACGAAGUGCAUCAAUGCGUGGCCGUUAUUAGUCCCUACACACAGAGAGGGCUCCUUGUCUCGGGCCGGGGGGCCCCAGAAACAAACUCUUACACAGGAAUGAAGCAGUCAAUUUGCAAGGUGGUCUUAAGAAGCAUCAGCAGGAAAGUCUGGGAAGUGAGGACAGAAAGAAAUGAGCAGUAGAGGGUGCAUUAAUGAGCCCAUGACCACAGGGGACAACUGAGGCUGGGUCCCACGGGGAUCUCUGGGAAACAGUGCAGAAUAUGCAUGGGGAUUUAUCCCCCAGCUCUUACCAUCAAUGGCUGAGGGCUUCCCCCCUGCCCCUGCCUGGGGGUGUGAGCUCCGGGGCAUUUCUCCCCUGUCCUGCUUGUGGGCAGAAAAGACACCCCCAGCAGAGGGUUGGAGAGCUGUGGUGUUUGCUGUGGGGCGCCAUCGGCAGCCAGUACAAGGAGGGUGCCCAGGGGACGUGAACAAGGCACCCAGGGCCUCAGCUUCACUGCACCACUGAUUGGCAUCUUCCUGCACAGGGGAGGGCAAGACCCACUGGAGAUGCCCAAGUUCUCUGCAUCCCACAGCUGCCACCACCACCAGGGCUAGCAAUGCAAAGUCCUGUCUAUCCCAAUAUGCCCAUUUCCUGGGCAGUUCCCAGCCUACAUCAGCAUCUCUCAACCUCUGCACUGCUAACGUCUUGGGCUGGUGAAUUCUUUGUUGUGGGAGCUGUCCUUUGGGUCAUAGGAGGUUUAGCAGCCUCCCUGACCUCUACUUCCUUGAUGACACUAGCAUCUCCCAGUUAUGACAACUAAAACCUGUCCCCAGGCACUGUCAAAUGUCCUCUGGGUGGCAAAGUCGCCCAAA
rnacentral:lncRNA from 1 species